CUUCAAUCCUAGCGAUUACUAACUAGCUAUAUGUCCUUGUGCCCUUCAUUUUUGUCUGGUUCUCUGUUUCCUUUCCUGUUCAAUAAAAUAAUAGGUCUACAUGGCUUCUAAAAUCUUUUCAGCUCUGACACUUGAGGAGUCUAUAAAGGAGAUCGUAUAUCAACAGGAAGGGAGGGAAAGGGAUGUGCCACCACACGCGCAGCUGCCAAGGAUCCUGCACAUGUGGUAUUAUUGUGGCGGAAUCUCCCCCUUGUCUGCCCAGAUGCAAAAAUGUUAUUGGAGUGAGAGACUGGGAAACUUGCCUGGUAUGAAAUCCUAGUACCCCAACUUCCUGGUUUUGGCAAUUUAGAGUCUUGGGAAUCAGUCCCAGCCCCUAUAAAAGAAGGCAGACCCUGUAAACAUGCCCUCCAAGAACCUCCAAUGUAGUUCUGGCAGCUUUCAAAUUCUAAGGUCCUCAAUCCUCCAUUCUAAGGCCACCCUCGGGUUUCACCUCAUUCCCCUAUACUGGUCAGCAGCCAAAUUCUGCAGCCUCUUUAACUUAAGAUCCCAGCCAAAAAGCCUGACUGCCCUCCUACUUGUGAACAAAUCCCAAUUCUCAAAGCAACUCCAGCCCCCCCCAACAGACUCCCCUCUGGUCUGAGGGGAGUAUCUGGGAGUAUCUCCCAGAUACUCAAACUCACUUCAGCCCUGUAGCACUCAAGCCUCAGGGAUUUGGGCUGGCUGGUAGGUGACACUUCUCUGUUUAAGAUAGUCCCAUCUGCAGAGCUAGGAUCAGCCCCUAAAUUGAUAAGCACAGGGUGGGAAAGCAACCUGCCUUAGUGAGAUUACCCAGACUCUAAAGUAAGGUCCCGCAGCUCCACCUCAUACCUCCACAGACACACACUCUUCGGCUUUUAAGUUAUGAAACAGGCCUGUUGCUAUUCUAAGGAAGUCUCACAAGUCACCUUAUAAACAUGCCGCUUCAGGCAGCUUCCUGUGGUUUGCCAAAGGCCAGCUGGGAAGGCAGCCAGACUCCCGCCAUGGUCCUGGAACCCCCUCCUCUAGCAGACAUUCACUCAGGGCAUGACCUCCUGAGGUGCCCACUUGGGAUGCAGGAACUUAGUGGCUGCGAGAGUUGCUAUUUUUCCCUCCAGCCCCAGCCUGGGCUGGGCUGAAUGAUGUGGCUGGCUGGUACAAAGGCUGCUUUUUAUAAUGUUCUUCUUUGGUAUUUUUGGUGUCUGGAGAGGGUUUCCUUUCCUCCCACAGUUAAUUAGCAGCAUCAAGCAUUUUCCUUUCUCCAACAGAAGUCUGUUCCCACCCCUGAGGCCAGGCAGAGGGGGUGGCAGGUGUGGCUAAAUGCCCCCUGAGGUUAACCUCAAACUUAAACUUAGAGCCCCACUUGGUUAGAAGUGAAGUGAAAUGCAGGGCUAGCUUCCAUUCUGGGCAGAGUCGGCAAGCGGGCACACGUCCCUGGCAGGCUAGCAUCCCAAUCAGGGAGCCAGGAAGCAUUUUCUGGGCUAGAUAUCAGGACAAACCCAUGAACUGUGAGAGGUCCUCUUUGCUGAGAGCUCCAUCUGAUCCCAGGAAAUAGAGUGCUGGUUCCAUGUGCUAGAAGACAAAACUUCCUGCCAGAAAGAGGAUCUGCGUCUCAUCUCCAUGUGCGCCAGCGUUCAGAUACGGCUGUCUGGGCUUUCAUGGAUGAGUCAUGCAAUGGCCAAGCCUCAGCUGCAAGUUGGGGCAUAAAAGGAGCUUCAAAAAAAUAAGCAGGCUUGGCCGGGCAUGGUGGCUCACACCUGUAAUCCCAACAUGAUGGGAGGCUGAGAUAGCCAGAAAAGUGAAUUUUGAAUGUUCCCAACAUGAAGAAAUGAGAAACGUCUGAGGUGAUGGCUAUGCUAACUAUCCUGACCUGAUCAUUACACAUUGUAUACAUGUAUCAAAAUAUCACCCUGUACUUCAUAAACAUGUACAAUUAUUAUAUGUCAAUUAAGAAUAAUAAAAUAAAAAGAAGAAAUGGCUUUUGACUCUGCUUGCUCUCUGUCCUUACUGCCACUGCCCUUCUUUAGACCUCCAUCAGUCAUCUCUUGCCAGGACUACUCUAAAAGCCCUGUAAGUCCUCGGGCAUCUAAUUUGACGCUUUCUAAUCCUCUCCUCUGCUGCUAGUGUGCUUUCUUUAAAACUGAUCAUGUUAAUUCUCUUCUCUGAAAUCUUUGAUGGACUGUUGCCUACAAACUACAAACCACACGCCUAAGCAUAGCCUCUGAUACCCUUAACAAUUUAGCCAUUACUUACCUUCUAGGACUCAAUAAAUAUUCGAUGAAAAAGUGAAUGCUCUCCUGCUAGAAAUCCUGUUAACAAUGUUCCCUACACUUCUUAUUUAACAGUC